GUUGGAGUCACAGGGGCCAAUAACUCAUCACCCCAGCACUUCGGAGGUGGCUCCCCGUGCCACGGACUCCGAGGAGUCCUUCAUCUACUGAACACUCAAAGCUGAGGAGGGCAAUUUGGUUUUGAUGCUGUGCCAGAAAUCUUCUGACAAUGAGUUAUUGGAACUUGGAAAAAAAGAACUGUGUGCAGUACCGCAGGCAUUUUCUGGUGGACAACAGUGUGUUUCAUGAAUUUUGCCAUAGGAAAGCCGGAAAAAAAAAAUACUCAUACACCAUCCUUGCUGAGAUGAAGAAGGAAAAGAAGACCAUUGAGAAUCCAAGUGUGCCUUAGAAAAUAUUAUGUAUUACAAAUGCAUACUGCCUUGAACUGAGCAAGGAC
rnacentral:lncRNA from 1 species